rnacentral:rRNA from 1 species
UAAGACAGCUGGAUGAUAGCCGGGACUGAAGACUCUGCUUGACUAGCUGAGAGGAGGUGCAUGGCCGUCGUCAGUUCGUACUGUGAAGCAUCCUGUUAAGUCAGGCAACGAGCGAGACCCACGCCAACAGUUGCCAGCAUGUCCUCCGGGAUGAUGGGGACACUGUUGGGACCGCCUCUAGCUAAAGAGGAGGAAGGAAUGGGCAACGGUAGGUCAGCAUGCCCCGAAUUAUCCGGGCUACACGCGGGCUACAAUGGUCAGGACAAUGGGUAUCGACACCGAGAGGUGGAGGCAAUCUCCUAAAACCUGUCCUUAGUUCGGAUUGUGGGCUGCAACUCGCCCACAUGAAGCUGGAAUCCGUAGUAAUCGCGUUUCAAAAUAGCGCGGUGAAUAUGUCCCUGCUCCUU